rnacentral:rRNA from 1 species
UUAAGCCAUGCAUGUCUAAGUAUAAGCAAUUAUACAGCGAAACUGCGAAUGGCUCAUUAUAUAAGUUAUCGUUUAUUUGAUAGUACCUUACUACUUGGAUAACCGUGGUAAUUCUAGAGCUAAUACAUGCUAAAAAUCCCGACUUCGGAAGGGAUGUAUUUAUUAGAUUAAAAACCAAUGCCCUCUGGGCUCCUUGGUGAUUCAUAAUAACUUUUCGAAUCGCACGGCCUUGCGCCGGCGAUGGUUCAUUCAAAUUUCUUCCCUAUCAACUUUCGAUGUUUGGGUCUUGGCCAAACAUGGUCGCAACGGGUAACGGAGGGUUAGGGCUCGACCCCGGAGAAGGAGCCUGAGAAACGGCUACUACAUCCAAGGAAGGCAGCAGGCGCGCAAAUUACCCAAUCCCGAUUCGGGGAGGUAGUGACAAUAAAUACUGAUACAGGGCUCUUUUGGGUCUUGUAAUUGGAAUGAGUACAAUUUAAAUCUCUUAACGAGGAACAAUUGGAGGGCAAGUCUGGUGCCAGCAGCCGCGGUAAUUCCAGCUCCAAUAGCGUAUAUUAAAGUUGUUGUGGUUAAAAAGCUCGUAGUUGAACCUUGGGCCUGGCUGGCCGGUCCGCCUCACCGCGUGCACUGGUCCGGCCGGGCCUUUCCCUCUGUGGAACCCCAUGCUCUUCACUGAGUGUGGCGGUGAAACAGGACUUUUACUUUGAAAAAAUUAGAGUGCUCCAGGCAGGCCUAUGCUCGAAUACAUUAGCAUGGAAUAAUAAAAUAGGACGCGUGGUUCUAUUUUGUUGGUUUCUAGGACCGCCGUAAUGAUUAAUAGGGACAGUCGGGGGCAUCAGUAUUCAAUUGUCAGAGGUGAAAUUCUUGGAUUUAUUGAAGACUAACUACUGCGAAAGCAUUUGCCAAGGAUGUUUUCAUUAAUCAGGAACGAAAGUUAGGGGAUCGAAGACGAUCAGAUACCGUCGUAGUCUUAACCAUAAACUAUGCCGACUAGGGAUCGGACGAUGUUAUUUUUUGACG